rnacentral:lncRNA from 1 species
GCGGAGAAAGGAAGAUCUGGGUAUGAUUGUGAUUUACGACUCGAAGCCUGGGGGAUGUUGGUUUUGGGUAAGUCGUUGUUGGGAAAUGGAUCGCGGCGGUUCGCGGUCGGAACGAAAGUGAGUGACGGUUGGGGUUGUUUAUGAUUUGGUAGAGAGGCGAUUUGGGGUUUUCGGUGGGGAACGGCGACGAAGGAUGAUGCGGACGAAGAUGAUUGACGGUGGGGACUUUGAAGGUUUACGGUGAGGGUUUUACGAUGAAGGUAGUGGCGGCGAUUGGAGAUGGAAGAAGAUGGUGGUCUGAGCGGCGGCUAGGUUUUUUUGAAGUAGAGUGAAAGAUUUGUGAGAGGUAUUUUGAGGGAGAGUUUAGUGAGAGCGGUGAGUGUGGGG